GAAGAAGGUAAAAAUGGAGAAGGAGCAGGAAGGGUUUCCGCUGACUGCUUUGAGAGAAAUAAAUAUUCUUCUUUCAUUCCAUCACCCAUCCAUCGUUGAUGUGAAGGAAGUUGUGGUAGGGAAUAGUCUUGAUAGCAUUUUUAUGGCCAUGGAAUACAUGGAACAUGAUCUUAAAGGACUUAUGGAGACCAUGAAACAUCCUUUUACUCAGAGUGAAGUAAAAUGCCUAAUGAUUCAGCUAUUGGAGGGUGUUAGGUAUCUCCAUAGUAACUGGGUGCUUCAUAGAGAUUUGAAGACAUCUAAUUUGCUCUUGAACAACCAGGGUGAACUGAAGAUUUGUGACUUUGGAUUGGCUCGUCAGUAUGGAAGUCCUUUGAAGCCAUAUACACAUUUAGUUGUUACACUUUGGUACAGGGCACCCGAACUACUGUUGGGAGCAAGACAGUAUUCAACUGCUAUUGAUAUGUGGUCCUUGGGUUGUAUCAUGGCUGAACUUUUAUCUAAGGAGCCUCUUUUUAAUGGGAAAACUGAAGUUGAGCAACUAGAUAAGAUUUUUAGAACUCUAGGCACUCCAAAUGAGACUACUUGGCCUGGAUUCUCCAAGCUACCUGGUUUUAGAGUCAACUUUGUCAAGCAUCAGCUUCCAGCUUUGGGUUCAACCUGCUUCGUAAGAAAUUCCCUGCCACAUCAUUUACUGGCUCUCCAGUUCUAUCUGAUUCUGGGUUCGAUCUGUUGAGCAAACUUCUAGCAUAUGAUCCUCAAAAGAGAAUAUCAGCUGAAGAAGCUCUUGAUCAUGCAUGGUUCCUUGAAGUGCCUCUCCCAAAGUCGAAGGAGUUUAUGCCUACGUUCCCUGCUCAGCAUGCUCAAGACAGGAGAAUGCGAAGAAUAUUGAGUCCAGAUCCCCUUGAAGAGCAACGUAUAAAGGAAUUGCAGCAGCAGAAGUUAGGAACUACUGGUCUCUUUGGUGAGAGAUGAAUUGUUAAGUGAUGGCUGAGGCUCUGUCGACCAUUUAUUAUAUAGAAAUGGUAUUUAUAAAAUUGGUGGGGGAAAGGAAUUGAAUUGAAAUAGUGGAAUAUAGCACUGCUUUUCACAAGAUAAUUGGUGCUGGUUGGCCUUGGGGCAUGUCCUGUAGUUCGUGAAAAUAUGUAAAUUGUACUUCCAGGUGAACUUUGGUUUCAAGGAUUGACGAUCAUCUGGAAAUGAAUGCAUGUGUAGCACUUACGUCAUUAGUUUGAGCAUAUUUCCUUUUCAGGAAUAGAUGCUUUUUCUGUAAAAUAUUCUUGUAGAAAAUGGAAAAUAUAUUGAAUUUGAA
rnacentral:misc_RNA from 1 species